GUGUCAGCAGCCGCGGUAAUACGAAGGAUGCAAGCGUUAUCCGGAUUUAUUGGGUUUAAAGGGAGCGUAGGCGGCUUUAUAAGUCAGUGGUGAAAUCUUGUCGCUUAACGACAAACGUGCCAUUGAUACUGUAGAGCUUGAGUACAGAUGCCGUUGGCGGAAUGUGUCAUGUAGCGGUGAAAUGCAUAGAUAUGACACAGAACACCGAUUGCGAAGGCAGCUGACGAAACUGUAACUGACGCUGAGGCUCGAAAGCGUGGGGAUCAAACAGGAUUAGAUACCCCAGUAGUCC
rnacentral:rRNA from 1 species